rnacentral:tRNA from 5 species
CGCGGGGUGGAGCAGCCCUGGUAGCUCGUCGGGCUCAUAACCCGAAGGUCGUCGGUUCAAAUCCGGCCCCCGCAACCA